GUCCACUCCGCUUCAUUAGAAAUGGCAUCAACUUGGUCAAAUUCGUAUCCUUUUAUGUACUUUUUUCAAAUCUUUAAAAGUGCGAAAUUUACAGCAUCUUUACUGUCGAAAAUCUCGAGAAUUCGUUCAUUGAAAGCUUUCUCCAACAAGCUUUUGUAAGCUAAAAACCUUUGAAUUUGCCAGAUUUUUUUACCAGUUUCAAGCAAGAUUACUAGCUAAUACCAUAAUGGACCCAUCUUUAAGCAGCUUUUCAUUAGGACAGUAUUAGUCCCAGAUUGAAUCGAUAAGUAAACAAUGGUAUCUUUAAGACAUAUUGUCUGAAUGUAUUGCAUUCAAUCCACUCGUCAGGCUCUUGAAGAUAAUUCACUGAAUUAUUGUAAAUGAAAGCAGAAUAACACUUUAACCAUAUAAUUUAUUUGACCUAGAAGCAAAUCCAACACUUAAAGCUGUGGCUUUUUGCGAUUUAAGUUUGUAAAGACAAGAAAGUCUUGAUUCUUGUUUCUUUAUCACUUACUGACUAUUCAAGAUUAUCUACUUGCUAAUCAUUUAUUUAGUUUACAUUUAAAUCAGUUAUUUGUAAUGCGAUAUUACAAUGAUCAAGAAUAAUAAGUAUUUAUUGCUGCGUAAAUAAAUUGGUGUCAUCUUGGUAUUAUGAUAAUUACUUGUCUCCUAUCAAUGGUAGCUCAUCAAGAUCACAAUCAUUUUACAACUUGUGUUUCUCAAUCACCGAUUGAAGUCAGUCUUUGAGUACAGUAGUUAUUGUUUUCAUUUAUAUAAAAUAAUUAAUACACAAGUAUCAUUCCUAAGAUCAUUAAGGAUAGCAAUCAAAGUGUGAGAAAAUUGAUAAAGAAAACAGUUACCUCGGAAAUUUAAUUCUGGUUAAUCUGUUACCAAGCCACCAGUGAUUAACUCAAUCAUUCUGUUUACUUAUGAGUGUUGAUUGAAUAAACUGAAGUAAAAAAUUAUUUCUCCUCAAUUGUGCUUUGAAAUAGAUAUGAUGAUGAAAAAAGAAGUGGUUAAGCAAAACUAUGGAAGGACUCCUGAAGAUCAAGCAAUAAUUGAAUUACUCCGAGAUGUUGUGCGUAAAUGUACCAAUCCUGAUUCCUCCAAACGUCCUUCAGCCUCUGAGCUUUAUGAAUCCUUGUCCUUCCAUUUGCAUAGUUUUGAUACCGAUCCUAAGAACAUUGGAGAGACAAUCAUCUGAAUUGGAAUGACAGGGAAAAUUAUCUACAAAAAGAAAGAUCAGAAAUGGAUGAAUAAUGAAUACUUUGGUUGCAUUUAAAAUGGAAGUGAGGAAACCACAAUUCAUUGAACUAACAAUUGGAAAAGAUAUUGUUACCCUUUUGAACUGUAUUGAUUGUGAAUAUUGAUUAAUGUUCAAUUGUGAUAGAUCACCUGCUUUUUAAAUGGCAAACAAAACAAUAAUUGUUGCAAAUAUAUGAGAAAAUUUGUAAUGUUUACUUUUAUUACACUGGUAAAAGUUAUUUUUAAGUUUGUUAAACCUCUAGUUAAUGUCAAUAAAACAUGUGUGAAAA